rnacentral:lncRNA from 1 species
UCAUUUGUUUCUCGGUUAUCCUGGAUCUCUCCACCUAUAAAUAAGUUUGUGUCUCUCUCUCGUCAAGAAACAACAGUAUUUGACUCAGUUUUAUAUUAUUCAUUUAUAUAUAUUUUGGGUUUCUAAGUUAUUAGUUUAUAUUUUUCUUAUUAGAUGUCUCGCAUAACCAAUUGUCCUAGUCAAGUAACCUGUAGCAAGGACUCCUGUAAGCAGGACCAGGCACCCGCAAAUAUGAAUUCAAAUACGCGUGUAACAUGUUGCAUGGGUCUAUUGAAAAAAAAAAACAAUACAACGUGUAAUACCUGUAUAGUUAUGACUUAUGACUCAUAAUUUAUGAGUAAUAAGUUAUUACUAAUAACUAUUUAACUAUUACUAAUAGUCUAUUAGUUACUUUGUGGACGCCAUCUUUAUUGUGUUUUGUAAUUCCAAUCAUGUCCACUAAGUGUUGUGCUCCAGGGUGUAGAACGGGCUAUGACAACGAGCCACAACAGUCUGGUGUUACGAUCCAUCUGUGGCCAAACUAAGAGAGAAACCCCGGACUUGAUAACAUCUGGCUGAGAGCCAUUCCAAGAGAAACCGAUCUGAAGAAGACAGAUUAGGCAUCAUCCAAAAGUACAAAGCUGUGUUCCCUGCAUUUCAACGACUUUCAGACCCUUGGCAAGGCUCUAAAGAAGAGGUACCUCAAAGCAGAUGUAGUACCAUCCCUAUGGCCAAACUGUCCCAACUACCUCUCAACUCCUAAAGCGUCAUGAAGGCCAACUCAAGCUGCGACCACGUCAGGUAGUGCUCAACAGUUCAAUGAACUACAACAGCAUGCUGGUUUUCACGAAUCAUCAAUUGGAGCACUUAAGUACUACUCCAAAGAAGACAACAGACCAGAGUUUAAAGACACAUCCGAAUGUUCAGAGUUUGUCAGAACUAUGUAGAAUAUCCUAGACGUCAAGACACCUGGAGUUGGUUACGAAAAGAGAGAUGAGCUUCGGGAACCAAUCUCUGAGAAGAACAAACGUGGUCUGUUUUUUGAGAGAUUUUGUCGACUUUCUCAUCGAUUAGCAAAACAGUAAAGCACCUAGCCUCACAGCAGAAACCGUCCUAGCAACAAAGCAGACGUGCCUUGCCGCGGCAGUUCUGUCAGAUUAUCUUCUCCUAGAUGAAGACUUCUCCUAUGUACUCCUCGGCUGAACGAAGACCUGUUAAAAGCUGAGCUCAUUUUGACUAACUUGCAACCA